rnacentral:rRNA from 1 species
UAGGGAAUCUUCGGCAAUGGGGGCAACCCUGACCGAGCAACGCCGCGUGAGUGAAGAAGGUUUUCGGAUCGUAAAGCUCUGUUGUAAGUCAAGAACGGGUGUGAGAGUGGAAAGUUCACACUGUGACGGUAGCUUACCAGAAAGGGACGGCUAACUACGUGCCAGCAGCCGCGGUAAUACGUAGGUCCCGAGCGUUGUCCGGAUUUAUUGGGCGUAAAGCGAGCGCAGGC